rnacentral:rRNA from 1 species
GUGCCAGCAGCCGCGGUAAUACGUAGGGUCCAAGCGUUAAUCGGAAUUACUGGGCGUAAAGCGUGCGCAGGCGGUUGUGCAAGACCGAUGUGAAAUCCCCGGGCGUUAACCUGGGAAUUGCAUUGGUGACUGCACGGCUAGAGUGUGUCAGAGGGGGUAGGAAUUCCACGUGUAGCAGUGAAAUAGCGUAGAGAUGUGGAGGAAUACCGAUGGCGAAGGCAGCCCCCUCGGGAGUAACACUGACGCUCAUGCACGAAAGCGUGGGGAGGCAAACAGGAUUAGAUACCCUGGUAGUCCACGCCCUAAACGAUGUCAACUAGUUGUUGGGGAGUUCAUUUCCUUAGUAACGUAGCUAACGCGUGCAGUUGACCGCCUGGGGAGUACGGUCGCAAGAUUAAAACUCAAAGGAAUUGACGG